UUAACUUGAGUAGUAUUAGAUAUGUUCUUGAAACUUAAAAAAUUUGGCGGUAUUUUAGUCUAUUCAGAGGAACCUGUCCUGUAAUCGAUAUUCCACGAUGGACCUUUCUUAAAUUAGUAUCUCAGUUUAUAUACCGUCGUUAUUAGAAUAUUUUAUAAGAAUAAUAAUUUUCUAUAAUUUUUAUAAAAAUUUAUAUCAGAUCAAGGUGUAGCUUAUGUUUAAGUAGAGAUGGGUUACAAUAAAAGUAUUUAUAUGGAUAUAGAUAUGAAAAGUUUAUUAAAAGUGGAUUUGAUAGUAAAAUUAUAUAGAUUAAUAAUUUGAUUUUAGCUCUAAAAUAUGCACACAUCGCCCGUCGCUCUUAUUAUUAAGAUAAGAUAAGUCGUAACAUAGUAGAUGUACCGGAAGGUGUAUCUAGAAUGACAAUUUAAAGCUUAUUUAGUAAAGUAUUUCAUUUACAUUGAAAUGAUUUUUGUGCAAAUCAAUAUAAAUUGAUUAAAUUUUAUUUAUUAAAAUAUUUUGUUAUUUAUUUAAUUUAUUAAAAGUAAUUAUAUAAGGUAUUGUUUUAGUAUUGUAUAAAGAAUAAAUAAGUUUAAUUAUAGUUAAUUAGUAUUGUGAAAGAAUAUUGAAAUAAU
rnacentral:rRNA from 1 species